UGCCGCGUGUGGGAUGAAGCAUCUCUGGUGUGUAAACCACUGUCAGGGGGCGGAAACAAUGAUUGCCCCCAAAGGAAGUGGCGACUAACUCUGUGCCAGCAGUCGCGGUAAUACAGAGGCCACAAGCGUUAAUCGGAAUCACUGGGCUUAAAGGGUGCGUAGGCGGAUUCGCAAGCGUCUUGUGAAAGCCCCCGGCUCAACCGGGGAACUGCAGGGCGAACUGCGAGUCUUGAGGCAGGUAGGGGCCGCGAGAACAGUAGGUGGAGCGGUGAAAUGCGUAGAUAUCUACUGGAAUGCCCGAUGGGGAAGCCGCGCGGCUGGGCCUGACCUGACGCUGAGGCACGAAAGCGUGGGGAGCAAACAGGAUUAGAUACCCUGGUAGUCCACGCCGUAAACGAUGUACGCUAGACCGGUGCGGUUUUGACGCCGUACCGGUCGUAGGAAAACUGAUAAGCGUACCGCCUGGGGAGUACGGUCGCAAGGCUAAAACUCAAAUGAAUUGACGGGGGCUCACACAAGCGGUGGAGCAUGUUGCUUAAUUCGAGGCAACGCGAAGAACCUUACCUGGGUUUGACAUGCAUGGAUCAACUCCUGGAAACAGGAGCCACAGUCGCAAGACCGGAACAUGCACAGGUGCUGCAUGGCUGUCGUCAGCUCGUGCUGUGAAGUGUCGGGUUAAGUCCUCUAACGAGCGCAACCCCUGUCGUUAGUUGCUCACGGGUAAUGCCGAGUACUCUAGCGAGACUGCCGGCGUCAAGCCGGAGGAAGGUGGGGAUGACGUCAAGUCCUCAUGGCCCUUACAUCCAGGGUUGCAAACGUGCUACAAUGGUGCAUACAAAGCGACGCAAGGCCGCGAGGCGGAGCAAAUCGCAAAAAAUGCACCCCAGUUCGGAUUGCAGGCUGCAACUCGCCUGCAUGAAGUCGGAAUCGCUAGUAAUCGGAGAUCAGCUACGCUCCGGUGAAUGUGUUCCUGAGCCUUGUACACACCGCCCGUCACGUCAUGGAAGCCUAGAGUGCCCGAAGCCGCCACAUUUCAGUGGUGACCACGGCAAGAUAGGUGACUGGGACGA
rnacentral:rRNA from 1 species